rnacentral:lncRNA from 1 species
UUCUGAGGCAUUGUCUCAGGUUUGAUUUGGUAAGGAGGAAUUGGAUUUGUGGGAUUUGGAGAGUCGGUGGAGAAAGUAAGCUCAGCUGGUGUUUGGGAUAAUUAAGAGUUACACAGAGUGUCAGGACUUGUAGCGACUUGACUAUUCUGUUUUUUUGGAGGAAGGGAAUGCAAAACACCUGAGGUCAGUAUCAGAAAAAGGAUGACGUUCACACUUCAGUAACAUGAACAUGGACAUACAAUUAGGAAGGCCGUUCUGCCAUCUUCUUUCAGAGUUGGCAAGAAGCUUCAGCAUUCAGGUCUAGCGGAAAAUUCUACUCAAGCAUUAUAGUUCUCCAAAUCCAACUCCUGUCCAUCCAUUGUUCAAAAAGAAGCAAGAUGCUGGAAUGUACCUUCUGCAGCUCUCAUCUGUAUCCCAGUAGUCAUCAUGCCAUUUCCAAUGAUUUGUGAUGUUAGCAAGCUCUCUAGUGCAUGCUUAAAUAAGUCUGUCCAGUUGCACCUUGAGCCCUGAAAACAAUUGUACAAAAUCA